AUUUAUUUAGUAUAAAAAAAUAAAAUUACAUUUAAUUUCCAAUUAAAAAAUUUAACAAUUGUUAACAUAAAUA
rnacentral:tRNA from 1 species